rnacentral:rRNA from 1 species
GAUGAACGCUGGCGGCGUGCCUAAUACAUGCAAGUCGAGCGAACAGACGAGGAGCUUGCUCCUCUGACGUUAGCGGCGGACGGGUGAGUAACACGUGGAUAACCUACCUAUAAGACUGGGAUAACUUCGGGAAACCGGAGCUAGUACCGGAUAAUAUAUUGAACCGCAUGGUUCAAUAGUGAAAGACGGUUUUGCUGUCACUUAUAGCUGGAUCCGCGCCGCAUUAGCUAGUUGGUAAGGUAACGGCUUACCAAGGCAACGAUGCGUAGCCGACCUGAGAGGGUGAUCGGCCACACUGGAACUGAGACACGGUCCAGACUCCUACGGGAGGCAGCAGUAGGGAAUCUUCCGCAAUGGGCGAAAGCCUGACGGAGCAACGCCGCGUGAGUGAUGAAGGUCUUCGGAUCGUAAAACUCUGUUAUUAGGGAAGAACAAAUGUGUAAGUAACUAUGCACGUCUUGACGGUACCUAAUCAGAAAGCCACGGCUAACUACGUG